rnacentral:rRNA from 1 species
AGAGUUUGAUCCUGGCUCAGGAUGAACGCUAGCUACAGGCUUAACACAUGCAAGUCGAGGGGCAUCAGGAAGAAAGCUUGCUUUCUUUGCUGGCGACCGGCGCACGGGUGAGUAACACGUAUCCAACCUGCCGAUGACUCGGGGAUAGCCUUUCGAAAGAAAGAUUAAUACCCGAUGGUAUAUCUGAAAGGCAUCUUUCAGCUAUUAAAGAAUUUCGGUCAUUGAUGGGGAUGCGUUCCAUUAGGUUGUUGGCGGGGUAACGGCCCACCAAGCCAUCGAUGGAUAGGGGUUCUGAGAGGAAGGUCCCCCACAUUGGAACUGAGACACGGUCCAAACUCCUACGGGAGGCAGCAGUGAGGAAUAUUGGUCAAUGGACGAGAGUCUGAACCAGCCAAGUAGCGUGAAGGAUGACUGCCCUAUGGGUUGUAAACUUCUUUUAUAUGGGAAUAAAGUGAGCCACGUGUGGCUUUUUGUAUGUACCAUACGAAUAAGGAUCGGCUAACUCCGUGCCAGCAGCCGCGGUAAUACGGAGGAUCCGAGCGUUAUCCGGAUUUAUUGGGUUUAAAGGGAGCGUAGGCGGACUAUUAAGUCAGCUGUGAAAGUUUGCGGCUCAACCGUAAAAUUGCAGUUGAUACUGGUCGUCUUGAGUGCAGUAGAGGUAGGCGGAAUUCGUGGUGUAGCGGUGAAAUGCUUAGAUAUCACGAAGAACUCCGAUUGCGAAGGCAGCUUACUGGACUGUAACUGACGCUGAUGCUCGAAAGUGUGGGUAUCAAACAGGAUUAGAUACCCUGGUAGUCCACACAGUAAACGAUGAAUACUCGCUGUUUGCGAUAUACGGCAAGCGGCCAAGCGAAAGCAUUAAGUAUUCCACCUGGGGAGUACGCCGGCAACGGUGAAACUCAAAGGAAUUGACGGGGGCCCGCACAAGCGGAGGAACAUGUGGUUUAAUUCGAUGAUACGCGAGGAACCUUACCCGGGCUUAAAU